rnacentral:rRNA from 1 species
GAUGCAGCCAUGCCGCGUGUAUGAAGAAGGCCUUAGGGUUGUAAAGUACUUUCAGUCGGGAGGAAGGCGUUGAUGCUAAUAUCAUCAACGAUUGACGUUACCGACAGAAGAAGCACCGGCUAACUCCGUGCCAGCAGCCGCGGUAAUACGGAGGGUGCAAGCGUUAAUCGGAAUUACUGGGCGUAAAGCGCACGCAGGCGGUUGAUUAAGUGAGAUGUGAAAUCCCCGGGCUUAACCUGGGAAUGGCAUCUAAGACUGGUCAGCUAGAGUCUUGUAGAGGGGGGUAGAAUUCCAUGUGUAGCGGUGAAAUGCGUAGAGAUGUGGAGGAAUACCGGUGGCGAAGGCGGCCCCCUG